rnacentral:rRNA from 1 species
GGACUACAAGGGUAUCUAAUCCUGUUUGCUCCCCACGCUUUCGUGUCUCAGUGUCAGUACUCGUCCAGUUGGCCGCCUUCGCCACAGGUGUUCCUCUCGAUAUCUACGAAUUUCACCUCUACACCGAGAAUUCCACCAACCUCUCCGGUACUCUAGCUACGCAGUAUCGAGUGCACUUCCUGAGUUGAGCCCAGGGCUUUCACAUCCGACUUACGCAGCCACCUACACACGCUUUACGCCCAGUAAUUCCGAACAACGUUUGCACCCUCUGUCUUACCGCGGCUGCUGGCAC